rnacentral:rRNA from 1 species
CCCGCUGAACUUAAGCAUAUUACUAAGCGGAGGAGAAGAAAUUAACAAAGAUUACCUUAGUAAGGGCGACUGAACCGGUAAGAGCUCAAAAUUGGAAUCGAAAAUUCAAAGAAUUUUCGAAUUGUAAUCAGGUUCACCUAAAUACGAAAACUCGCUUAAGUACGUCGAAUCGUGCGCCAUGGAGGGUGAAAGCCCCGUGUAGCGUUUUUUCGAGUAAGGUGCGCCCCACAAGAGUCGGGUUGCCUGGAACUGCAGCCCUAAGCGGGAGAUAUGAAUCUUCCAAAGCUAAAUAUGGAUGGGAGACCGAUAGCGAACAAGUACUGUGAAGGAAAGAUGAAAAGGACUUUGAAAAGAGAGUGAAAAGAUCUGAAAUCGUUGAGAAGGAAGCGGUAGAAACUGAUGGUCGUGCUGAUGGUUAUCGGGGGUCAAACUCCGUAGUACCUACCAGAGCGACGGGCAAAAUCAAGUAGAACGCAUCAAAAAAGGCUUUAGCCGAGUAAGGUGUGAUCUGCUUGAGGGACAACUGUGGUUUUGCCAAAAUGGUUUCUACUGUCCCGUCUUGAAACACGG